rnacentral:ncRNA from 1 species
ACACGGGGUGCCGGCAGGCUGAGAACACACCCGUUGAACCUGAUCUAGUCAGCACUAGCGAAGGGAUGUCC